rnacentral:rRNA from 1 species
UUACGGUCAAAUCACGCUGAAAACACCGGUUCUCGUUCGAUCACCGAAGUUAAGCAUCGUAGAGCCAGGUCAGUACUUAGAUGGGGGGACCGCUUGGGGAGCACCUGGUACUGUAAG